rnacentral:tRNA from 1 species
AUCUUUCUAGUAUUAAAUUUAAGUAUAAGUGACUUCCAAUCACCCGGUCUUGGUUAAAUCCCAAGGAAAGAUA